AUUCAAUUAUGCCAAAAGUAAUAUUUUCUUAUUUCUUUUAAGACUCUCAAGUAAUAUGAUGUUCUACAUGGGAAAAUUUUAGAAACUGCAACUGCAUUUCAGCAGCAGCCAAUUGGUAAUUAACAUGUAAACAGGUGUUGGCCAUGGUGUCUUGGAGGUUCAAUUUUGUGACCAACAGCAUGAUUGUGGCAAUGUGGUUAGCAUUGCACGCAAGGCGCCUUUACUUCCCAGACAAGCUGGAAUCAUCAAUCGGAAGCUAGAUGGCUUCAAGCCACCACUGGGUAUCUGACCCCAGUUCUUCUCAAGUACAGAAGUACAGAACCUUAACUACUGAAUCAUUGCAGCUCACCACUAUAAAUCAUAUCUUAAUAAUGUACCCCCUAACCUCAAAGGUAUAUUAUAAAUAAAAUACUUCAUACAUGA